rnacentral:rRNA from 1 species
AUUGAACGCUGGUGGCAGGCCUAACACAUGCAAGUCGAAAGAGAGGCGGAAGGGUGAGUAAUGUCUGGGAAACUGCCUGAUGGAGGGGGAUAACUACUGGAAACGGUAGCUAAUAACGCAUAACAUCAGAUGUGCCCAGAUGGGAUUAGCUAGUUGGUGGGGUAACGGCUCACCAAGGCGACGAUCCCUAGCUGGUCUGAGAGGAUGACCGGCCAAACUGGAACUGGGACACGGUCAAGACUCCGACGGGAGGAAGCAGUGGGGAAUAUUGCACAAUGGGCGCAAGCUGGAUGCAGCCAGGCCGCGUGUAUGAAGAAGGCCUUCGGGUGGUAAAGUACUUUCAGCGGGGAGGCGUUACCCGCAGAAGAAGCACCGGCUAACUCCGUGCCAGCAGCCGCGGUAAUAC